rnacentral:snoRNA from 1 species
GACUUACUUGAACAGGAUUUGUUCUAUAGGCUCUUGUAUCCUUGUGUUCUAAGGAGAUAGGAAACCAAGUCUAAGUGGAUGAAAUGUGGCCAUGUGCCACACUAUAGUACGUAAAAGAAACUCGAAUCCAACUAAAUUGUCUUAGUUGAUUAUAUAUGUUAGAUA